GAGAUCGUACUUCUAGGGAUCAGUCCUAUAGUACGUAUCACCAGGACGUCAAACAAACUUGACCCUGGCCAACCAACCGCGAUGAUGAUCAGUGCGGCCUAUUCCUGAGCGUGAAGCGGGUGUGUGGCUGUCCGUCUGGCUGGCUUCUCACGAAGUCUGUUCGUGCGGACUCGGCCGCCUCCUUGUCCGAUCGUCCAGCCGAAUUGAGGACUGCGUGCGAAAGCGUUGCAAUUCCAAUUCGGUAUGGAGGAACUGGCCUGUGCUGAGCGGC
rfam:Schistosoma mansoni strain Puerto Rico chromosome W, complete genome